UAAUACGUAGGGGGCGAGCGUUAUCCGGAUUUACUGGGCGUAAAGAGGGCGUAGGCGGCUCUUCAAGUCGAUUGUAAAAUCUCCCGGCUCAACUGGGAGGGACCAUUCGAUACUGAUGGGCUAGAGGACAGCAGAGGGAGGUGGAAUUCCCGGUGUAGUGGUGAAAUGCGUAGAUAUCGGGAGGAACACCAGUGGCGAAGGCGGCCUCCUGGGCUGUUACUGACGCUGAGGCCCAAAAGCGUGGGGAGCAAACAGGAUUAGAUACCCUGGUAGUCCACGCCGUAAACUAUGGACACUAGGUAUAGGGGGUAUCGACCCCCUCUGUGCCGAAGCUAACGCUUUAAGUGUCCCGCCUGGGGACUACGGUCGCAAGACUA
rnacentral:rRNA from 1 species